rnacentral:rRNA from 1 species
GACGAACGCUGGCGGCGUGCUUAACACAUGCAAGUCGAACGGUAAGGCCCCUUCGGGGGUACACGAGUGGCGAACGGGUGAGUAACACGUGGGUAAUCUGCCCUGCACUUCGGGAUAAGCCUGGGAAACUGGGUCUAAUACCGGAUAUGAGCUCCUGCCGCAUGGUGGGGGUUGGAAAGUUUUUCGGUGCAGGAUGAGUCCGCGGCCUAUCAGCUUGUUGGUGGGGUAAUGGCCUACCAAGGCGACGACGGGUAGCCGGCCUGAGAGGGUGAUCGGCCACACUGGGACUGAGACACGGCCCAGACUCCUACGGGAGGCAGCAGUGGGGAAUAUUGCACAAUGGGCGAAAGCCUGAUGCAGCGACGCUGCGUGGGGGAUGACGGUCUUCGGAUUGUAAACCCCUUUCAGUAGGGACGAAGCGCGAGUGACGGUACCUGCAGAAGAAGCACCGGCCAACUACGUGCCAGCAGCCGCGGUAAU